rnacentral:lncRNA from 1 species
GCGGCCCCGCCGGCCCGGCGCCUACCCGCGCCCUGGUCCGCGCGCCGCCCUGCCGCCUGCUCCUCGUUCUUCUCCUGCUGCCUCCUCUCGUCUCCUCGUCCCGGCCCCGCGUUUGGGGGACUGCUGCAGCCAGCGCUCCGCAUUGGAAUGAAACUGCAGAAAAAAAUUUGGGAGUCCUGGCAGAUGAAGACAAUACAUUGCAACAGAAUAGCAGCAGUAAUAUCAGUUACAGCAGUGCAAUGCAGAAAGAAAUCACACUGCCUUCAAGACUCAUAUAUUACAUUAACCAAGACUCGGAAAGUCCCUACCAUAUUCUUGACACAAAGACCAGACACCAGCAGAAACAUAACAAGGCCGUCCAUCUGGCUCAGGCAAGCUUCCAGAUUGAAGCCUUUGGCUCCAAAUUCAUUCUUGACCUCACACUGAACAAGUAAGUAUUUGGUCAUAAUCUUGUUAAGGAACAAGUACAAUAAAACUUCA